rnacentral:rRNA from 1 species
CGGGAUGGACAUACCUCUGGUGUACCAGUUGUCGUGCCAACGGCAUAGCUGGGUAGCUAUGUGUGGACGGGAUAAGUGCUGAAAGCAUCUAAGCAUGAAGCCCCCCUUAAGAUGAGAUUUCCCAACUUCGGUUAUAAGAUCCCUCAAAGAUGAUGAGGUUAAUAGGUUCGAGGUGGAAGCAUGGUGACAUGUGGAGCUGACGAAUACUAAUCGAUCGAAGACUUAAUCAA